GCCUGCAAUUCUCUCCUCACCGCCGGGGCGCGUGCAGCCUGUGAGCCUCCCCGUGUCAUCACACACACACACGCGGAGCUCGAGCUGCCGCACGAGACCACUGCAGCAAACAGCUCGUGCUUCAGGAGGACGUUGUCCAACGUUAACGGUCGGACAGAAAACAAGAGUGAAGGAGCAGCGGACCUACUUAGACAAACGUCCUCCAGGUAUUUUGUGCUGUUGCCCUUUCCAUGGAGGUCAGAGGUCAGAGGUCAUAGUGCAACAGUACAGGAGCUGAGAUCAAUGAUUCUUCAGCAGGCAAGAAGUGAAGACUGAACAUCCGUUCCUUAAGUGCAGGUGCAGCAGCCAAGAGUCCUGCCUUUUUUUCCCUCCGUCCUCUCGCUGUCCUCUCCUUUCCUCAUCCUUCUUCUCUCUCUUUCUCUCCUCUUGCUCGCUCUCUAUCUCUGUCAUGUUGGGCUGUGAGUUGAGUGUCAGCCCAUGACCAGACUGAAGCUGGGGAAGUUAAAGGUGGUGCGGCGGCAGCUGCUGCAAAGAUAUGAACACCAGCCAUUUGUCUCCUGUCUGGCUGGACUCUAUGGUUGCCAAUGGAGACGAUACCAAAGAGCCAGAGCACAACCAGGAGAGUGCUGCUGCAGCAAGGUGGAGUGUGGCAGUUUUGGCCUCCUGAUUCUCACCUUCUUCCUGAGUUUUGUUUUCCUGUAUUUCUGGAGUGAAGCUCAGAACGACUACAAUGACUUUGACUGGUUUAACUUUGGGACUCUUGGCUUCUGGUUUCCCUGGUCCCUGGUCCUGCUGGUUGUUGCUGCUGCUCUGUUCACAUACAUUGCUCUGCUACUGGUGCUGGCGGUGUGUCUGCUUUCUGAGGGUCAGAGGCUUUACCUACACUGGAGCCACAAGACUGGCAUUGUGGUGACAUUGGCGUUCUCCGUCAUAGCCACUGCCAUCCUGUCUGACCUCUGGAGCAAAGAAUGGAAGACGCUGCUCCUGUCUCUGCAGGUGACGGCGCCUUUCCUCCACGUGGCUGCAGUGUCACUAAUGGCCAUCCUCUCCUGGCCAAUAGCAUUACACUUCUUUCGUAUGAACAGGAAAGUGCGUCAGGUGGCUGUCCUGGGUCUUUUCCUGUCUGUGUUGUUCUCUCUCUACCUGGUCCCACUGGGAAUGUACUCACCCUGCAUUAAAGAAGCAGGAAUGCUGGGACCGGCCCCAAUGCUCAUCGGACACAGAGGCGCUCCAAUGCUUGCUCCUGAGAACACUGUGAUGUCAUUUGAGAAGGCAGUGGAAGUGGGGGGAGAAGGACUGGAGACUGAUGUCACCAUCAGUUAUGAUGGCGUUCCCUUCCUAAUGCAUGACUCCACUCUAAGAAGAACCACUAACGUUGCUGAGGUUUUCCCAAACCGAACACAUCUCGAUGCCUCCAUGUUCACCUGGGCUGAACUGCAGCAGCUGAAUGCUGGCGACUGGUUCUUAUCGAGAGAUCCAUUUGGCACAGUGUCCUCCUUGUCUGAGUUGGAGCACUCCCAGGCCCAGAACCAGUCUGUACCCUCACUUUCCCAGUUUCUGGAGGUGGCAGCUCGUAGCAGCAAAAUUGUGUUGUUUGACCUGCGUAGGCCACCAUAUGGACAUCCUUAUAGUGAGUCAUACAUCAACACCACACUGCAGGUGGUGCAAGCGCACAUCAACUCCUCACAGGUGUUGUGGCUACCAUCUGAGGACAGGGAGUUGGUCCAGGCGGCUGACCCAGAUUUACAGCAGACCUCUGGGGUAAAAGCUUCAAUUCAAGAGCUGAGAGACGGCCACAUCACCAAACUGAACCUGCACUACAGCACCAUGUCUCAACAACAGAUCAGUAAAUACCGGUCAGUGAACAUCAGCACUAACCUGUAUGUGAUCAGUCAGCCGUGGCUCUACACUCUGGCCUGGUGUGCAGGAGCUCACUCUGUCACCACCAACUCCAUCCACAUCCUGUCCAACAAUAACAAGCCACUCUUCCUCAUGACUCCUGAUGAAUAUAGUCUGAUGUGGAUUCUGACCGAUGCCGUGUCUGCCUUCCUCAUCAUGGUCAUUUUCAUAUUCCAUUGGUGGAGAGAGAGAGGUCUGCCUUUCUGGUCUGGCAGCCGUCAGACUCAUGAGAACGGGCCGUACAGCAAGUUUAGGACAGACUCUUGGGAGGUCAUCUGUGUUCGCUGGAGCCCCCUCCACUCUGAUCCUCCUGCUGGAGCCUUCAUCUCCCUCCCCUUGGUCUUCAACCCAUGAGUCCCUGCAUGUCAGUCCCUCAGGAAUCUUAUCACUGGUGGAAUCAUAGAUGCAUGACACUAUCCAUCCCAACCCUUAGCUGAGUGAUGUGUGGUCCAUCUCCAGUGUCAACAUCCGGCCUGACGUUCGGAGCAUGCCCAGUUCACCCAUCAACCCUCACCUUCCCACCAUCACAGAGGAGUGACCAGGAGAGAAGAGAGGGAGACAGACUGACAGAGAGGGAGAAAGACAGACUGAGACAGAGAGAGAAAAAGAGAGAGAGGAGGAAAGAUAGUAAGAGAGGAGAACAUUUUAGUGUCAAAUCAACAUUAAUAACUAAAUAAGCUAAAAUGUAUUGGAUAAAUAAUAGUUUAUUUUGCAUUAGAAUUCAAGCUUCCAUUUAAUAUUAUAUAUUCUUAUUUCUGAUUAUAGUUAUUCAAAACUUAUUUAAUUUGCUCUCUGUUCUCUAAGUUAAGUCCUGCCCCACUUCACACUGGGGAUAAAUAUGUAAGCAGAAACCAGAAAUGUCAUGUCUGAGAUUCUGGAUUCACUGUAACUGAAAGAAAGAUAGAAAUGAAUGUUCAAUGUUCAUGUGCGCCAUAUGACCCAAGAACAGAAGAGACACAUACUCUCUAGUCUUUCUCCACCUCCUCUGUCGUUCUCCAACAGCUGGGAUCUGAAAAUGAACUAUACCAAAUGUACCAAACCUCACAUUGAUCUGUUGUGAACAACGAUGGAGCCAAAACAUCGUGGACAGGAGCCGAUGAAGACCAGUGUCCACUUCCUCUCUGUAACGUCUCUGACGCCGGGGCAAACACUCACUCAGAGGCUGACGCUUGAGAACAUGUUCAUCUCUUUGUCAUUCAACACCAGCUGAGCUCAACAUCACACAACAUCGAAGAAACUCAAAAAAGAAAGAAGAAAACUAUACAUUAAUACACAAUUGCUGUAGUUAUACGUGAGCUGCUUUCACUUUUACCGUCUCGUGUUUCUGAGUUUUAAGGCGGAGGAGUGAAAAAGCUGAUGGUGGGGAGGCACGUGGACGCAUCUAGACGACUGUAAAAUGGACUCCAAGUAUGUUUUUCUGUAUGAAUUCUGCUUUCAUAUUGAGCUGUGCAAGUAUCAGGUGCAUCAGACCAAACCUUAAACUAUGUCUUAAUCUUUAAUCUAUCUCUGUGUAUCUGUAGCUGUUAGAUGCAGUGUAUUGAUAUUUACAAUGUUUGACUGAAUGAAUGUAAACCAGAGGCAGAGAAGUUACCGUUAGUUCCCGUCUUUGUGGGAACUGAAAUGAAUGUAUUAUCGAACAAGGCCAUGUUUCUCAGGAGCAUGAGAAAUGUUGUGGCCGGGGUCAUUUCAGUUUGGCAACAGAUUUGUGCCAAAUGAAGUUUUAGCUCUUGUAAAUAAAGAUUAUUUAAAGAUG